rnacentral:rRNA from 1 species
GACGAACGCUGGCGGCGUGCCUAAUACAUGCAAGUAGAACGCUGAAGGAGGAGCUUGCUUCUCUGGAUGAGUUGCGAACGGGUGAGUAACGCGUAGGUAACCUGCCCGGUAGCGGGGGAUAACUAUUGGAAACGAUAGCUAAUACCGCAUAAGAGUAGAUGUUGCAUGACAUUUGCUUAAAAGGUGCAAUUGCAUCACUACCAGAUGGACCUGCGUUGUAUUAGCUAGUUGGAGUGGUAACGGCUCACCAAGGCAACGAUACAUAGCCGACCUGCGAGGGGGAGCGGCCACACUGGGACGGAGACACGGCCCAGACUCCUUCGGGAGGCAGCAGUAGGGAAUCUUCGGCAAUGGGCGGAAGUCUGACCGAGCAACGCCGCGGGAGUGAAGAAGGUUGUCGGAUCGUAAAGCUCUGUUGUAAGGGUAGAACGAGUGUGAGAGUGGAAAGUUCACACUGUGACGGUAUCUUACCAGAAAGGGACGGCUAACUACGUG